AAAUAAAGACAAAUGUUCAUUUGAGGUGAACUGCAUUACAGAAAUGCCACCCUGCGGCAAAGCACAAAAAUCACCAGGAUAUGGGGUUGGGGUGAAGGAAGAAAGUGAACACGCUCAGAGUCCCUCAAGGUGCUAACUGAACAUGAGUCUUUUCCAGGGCAGCACCUGGAGACUCCGUAUCCAGUGUUUGUGACACGCUGUUGCCCAUGGCUGCCUUCCAGCAGUGCUUCUUCAGGGAUCCGAGCAUGUAGAACAGGAGCUGGAACAACCGCCCGGAAUCUUCAGCCACGCGCCGCCUGAAACUUUGAUGGUGACACGAGGAACGAGUCGUCCAGAUGUGAACAGGGAAUACCUCCGUGAUACGGACAGCAAUCCCACCUCCUAUGACAAGUUUCAUACCAUCUGCUUCCUUUCCCCUGUUAAUAAGUUUUCCCAGCCAGCUGAGUGCCCAAUCAAUUAUUUAGUGCGGCGGGGCCGCUGUCAGAUCCACAUCCGUGCUUCCAUGUCCAUCUCCAUCUCAUCGAGAUGCAGCACUGAAGUGCUCGCAAAGAACUUUCAAGGAUGAUUUUCACACUGUUACAUUACAAAAUUGAACAUAUUGGAAUCCACCAAAGUGAUUUAAACCAAAUGGAGCCAAAAUAUUAUUGAUAUACAAAUUACAGCAUGUGCUGGUUAUUUCUUUCAAUGUCUAUGAAUUGUUGUAAAUUCUGAGGAAAUAUGGUACAUGGUAAAGUAUUGCCUAGCAAUUCAGUGAUCGAUAUAGAUUAAAUGUACAUGUAAACAACAAAAAUAAAAAAUUUCUCUUACAGUCUCUCA
ensembl:lncRNA